rnacentral:rRNA from 1 species
GACGAACGCUGGCGGCGUGCUUAACACAUGCAAGUCGAACGGAAAGGCCCUGCUUUUGUGGGGUGCUCGAGUGGCGAACGGGUGAGUAACACGUGAGUAACCUGCCCUUGACUUUGGGAUAACUUUAGGAAACUGGGGCUAAUAUCGGAUAGGAGCUCCUGCUGCAUGGUGGGGGUUGGAAAGUUUCGGCGGUUGGGGAUGGACUCGCGGCUUAUCAGCUUGUUAGUGGGGUAGUGGCUUACCAAGGCUUUGACGGGUAGCCGGCCUGAGAGGGUGACCGGCCACAAUGGGACUGAGAUACGGCCCAGACUCCUACGGGAGGCAGCAGUGGGGAAUAUUGCACAAUGGGCGGAAGCCUGAUGCAGCAACGCCGCGUGCGGAAUGACGUCCUUCGGGUUGUAAACCGCUUUCGCCUGUGACGAAGCGUGAGUGACGGUAAUGGGUAAGAAAGCACCGGCUAACUACGUG